rnacentral:rRNA from 1 species
AGAGUUUGAUCAUGGCUCAGAACGAACGCUGGCGGCGUGGAUAAGACAUGCAAGUCGAGCGCUGAUUCAAGGGUAGCAAUAUUCUUGAGUCGGAGCGGCGCAAGGGUGCGUAACACGUGGGUAAUCUGCCGUGAAGUCCGGGAUAACUUGCUGAAAGGCGAGCUAAUACCGGAUGUGAAAAUUGGAAGGCAUCUUUUGAUUUUCAAAGUUGGGGACCGUAAGGCCUGACGCUUCAUGAUGAACCCGCGGCCUAUCAGCUAGUUGGUGAGGUAACGGCUCACCAAGGCUAAGACGGGUAGCUGGUCUGAGAGGACGACCAGCCACACUGGAACUGAGACACGGUCCAGACACCUACGGGUGGCAGCAGUCGAGAAUUUUUCUCAAUGGGCGAAAGCCUGAAGGAGCGACGCCGCGUGGGGGAUGAAUGGCUUCGGCCCGUAAACCCCUGUCAUUCGCGAACAAUGCCUGCGGCUUAAUACGUCGCAGGUUGAUAGUAGCGGAAGAGGAAGGGACGGCUAACUCUGUGCCAGCAGCCGCGGUAAUACAGAGGUCCCAAGCGUUGUUCGGAUUUACUGGGCGUAAAGGGUGCGUAGGCGGUCGGAUAAGUCUGAUGUGAAAUCUCCGGGCUUAACCCGGAAAUGGCAUUGGAUACUAUUCGGCUGGAGGGUUGGAGGGGGGACUGGAAUACUUGGUGUAGCAGUGAAAUGCGUAGAUAUCAAGUGGAACACCAGUGGCGAAGGCGAGUCCCUGGACAACUCCUGACGCUGAGGCACGAAAGCUAGGGGAGCAAACAGGAUUAGAUACCCUAGUAGUCC